rnacentral:sRNA from 1 species
UGACCUUCACCGGGGGGAAGCCGAUAUA